AACCCAUAAUCCAAGACUUGGAGGAUUCCAAAUGUAGGCUGUUUAUUUACUCGUACUGAUAAGCUAUUCAUCUUAGAGAUAAGUCCCCUCCUCCCUCAUUCUCAACACAACUCAUUAACUACACCCCCACCCCUUCUCACAUAGUGAAACAGAAAAGACAUUUUAAGGCUGAUCAAACAUUAUCCAGCCAGGUGAGUUCUUUUCUGCAAACCUGCAACUUUGAGGCUCUCAUGAAUCCCCUUGCGGUGUUGGAGGUGAUGACUUUCUUUACCGUAUUUUCCCGAAUGGCCUGCUUCGUACACAAGAUCUCAGGGAAUCCGGCCCACAUGGUAUCGAUCCAAGCUGUGCUGGCUUUUUCUGCAGUGCUGCGUCCUUUUCCUCUUGUCUUAUUUGACCCGUGGUGGCUUUUGGCUCUGGGUAUCCAGUGUUGCACCUUCCUGUUCUAUGAUGGAGGAUGGGCAUGGGGACCCAGGGGGAGCCCAGGGAGGGAGCGGUGAAGUGGAGGGGCGGCCAGCCCAGGAAUGGAGAGGAGACCCCUUGUUUCCUGAGUCCACCCUCUCCUCUCACAAGGAGUCAUUUAUUGAGCGUCUGCUGUAUGCUAGCCGGCAUGAAGGCUGAACGUGAGUAGGGUACAGUCCCCAUUCUGAAGCUUAUGCCCCUUCGAGGCCCUUCGAGUAAACAAGUGUCCCCAACAUGAGAGGAACCUCCCAUAUGUUGACCUUGACAGACGUGGAUACAGAAAAUGUUGUAGGAGCCGCAGAAGAGCAAUUUAUGGUUUUCUAAGAGAGUAUGAGGGAAGGUCAAAUCCAGGUGUCACAAGAAAGUACCACGGUCUUGUCUGUGUCACCAUAGAGACACACCUGUAGGCUCACACACACGUUUCUGUAGGAGCAAAACGCAGUGAUCCAAAGCCAUUGGCCAAUUCCCGGGCCUCCGUGCUUCCUUUCCCCAGCUUGAAACUAACCGUUGGACUCAUUCUUACUGGCUGACAGCACGAACCAGGAGGUAUUUGGAGAUCUCUGCCUUCAGUAGAAGGUGUGAGCAUGCAUGUGCGUGUGUAUGUGAGAGAUGAAAUUCACAUUGGAUGUCGCUUUGGCAUUUUGGGGAAACUCGAGUGGGCAGCAGAGUGCGGUUAGGAGCCCAGGUUCUUGUUCAAAUCUCAGCCCCACCACUUUUCUAGCUUUGCAGUCCUGGGAAAACAAGUUCUCUGGCCUCAGUUUCCUCCUCUGAAAAAUGGGCAUAAUGAACAUAUCUGCCUCACUGAGUUGUUGCAUGAGUUACAGGAGUCGACACAUGUGAAGCCCGUAAUAAACAUUAGCGGCUGUUAUGGUUGCUGCCCUGUUCUUUGUGUCUGUUGUCUCCAGCUUGUAUUUAUGAGCCCGUGCGGGCUCUGUCAGCAGAGGCCUGUGUGGGCCGGAAUGGCUUCAGGACCGUGCUGCUCACAGAACGAACGCCCAGUGCCCGGGCAAUCCUGGUACGAGACCCUCUGCCUCAUGGUGUGACUUAAAGCCACAACACCUACCUCUCCCGAAUUCCUCUUCCAAAAGCCUAUAGCAUUAAUCUUUAAAAUCCUGACCACAGUUUACCUCCAUGAAAGUUCCAACGUGCCGUCACCUGGGGAGAGAGAACAGUUACCCUCUGCUGCCUGGCACAGACACCUUGAUGCACCCCCAAGCACUGGGAACAGCCAGGACGGUCCCUUUGGGCUGGGGAAGAAAGGAGACAGGCCGGGCCUGAGCAGGGGGGCUUGCGGAAGCUGAGCAGGAACCCCGAGGAUCUGGGAGAAGGAGGGCGGUCGUGAUGGAUGGCGCUGGGGCAAAGGCGUACAGGGCUUGGGGGUUUGUGUUUGGGGCAUAUUGCUGGUGCAUAAUAGGUGCUCAAUAAAUAUUUGCCAUUGAAAGAUGGGGCCUGGAAAGAGGCAGCGUGGGCACUGGCAGGCGUGGGCUGUCUCCAGGGUGCCCAGGGCUGGCCCAGCUCAGCAGACAUCGGGGGGCCAGGAAGGGAGGCGCGUGGGAGGGGUCGCCGGCCCAUUCGAAGGCCCAGGGACUCCUCUGUCCCUGCUACCCCUUCUCACCACGGAAGGACCCUGAUUCAGAGGCUUCUAGGAAGCAAGGCUUCCCUGCGGAGCAUCUUCAGUGAUGAGGCAAGGCAGCCACGAGAAACCUCUUUGCAAGAGGAAGGUUGGUGACCUCAGGUUUCUGGAUUUGAUCCUUUCUGCUAGGCUGUUUUAAUCUGCAGAAUUAAGUGGUCAUGAGGCUUAAAUAAAAUAAUAAAAAUCAGGCCCUAGCUUAGGGCGCAGUAUCUAAAGAUACCCUUCCAGGAGGGGGCCGGUUGCCAUUGUUACUGCCCUCAAAGUGGUGCGAGAUGCUGCCAUCUAGUGUGCAUCAGGAGGAGAACUUUAAAAUUUUAAUUAGAAUUGGAAUUAAUUAAUGAAUCUACUAUUAUUUUUAUUAUUAUUUCCUCUGUAGGCCUUAGAAUUCUUUUUCAGAAUAUUCAUCUUCUGUUCUUGAUCUUAGGUGAACUAAUGUAAAUCAAACACGUCCAUUUGUUAUGCUGGCCUCCUGCACACAGAGUAAACAGUCCUCUCUUCUGGUCCCAGAGCUGCCUCUCCCUGUGGGGCAGUGGACGAGUCCCUGAGCCUCCGGAUGUGCUGUGUUUCUUAUCCAUAAAAUGGGCUAACUGGACUUUUCCCGUCCACAACUGAGUGUGAGAAGCCCAAUUUCACCCGUUCAUUCAUUCAUCCGGCCAAUCCGGGGUGGAGUCUGCUGAGUACCAGCCCGGGACCCCCCUUGAGUAAGGAGGGUGCAGGGCUGCCCUCCGGGAGCCGGUGUUCCAGGGAGGAAAUAGAUUCACACACAAAAUGAACAAACCGUGGAACCAUUUCUCACGCAGACUCUCUUCCUCCAUUCUUUGCUUCCAAUCUUUUUCCUUUCCUAAUACUAAAAUUCUUUCCUGACACACAACUCUGAACAUCACCGCCUUGCUCAGAAACUGUCUCCCUUGUCAAUAUAAUAGAGUCCCGUUUCUCUCUCCUGGAAGUCUCUCCAUCCUGGCCGCUCCAUCGGGCUACUUCCAGUGUUUUGAACCCAUAGCAGGUGAAUUUUGCCAGGUGUCAGGUGUUCUGCUAAGUGCUUUAUCUGUUAAUCUUCACCACAACCCAAGAGCUACGUCCUAUCAUCACCCUCUGCUUAUCUGUGGGGAAACUGAGGCGGAGAGAAGCCAAGGAACUCAUCUGAGGCUACACAGCUAGUAAACAGAGGUCCCUGGAGCUCAGACCCAGGUUCCCGUGAUGGCAAAGCCUGUGCCCUUAGCCUCUGUGUCACGCUGCCACCUAGCUUCCUGCUUCUGCAACUCUGCUCUCCCCACAUCCGGUGUACUGGCCAUCUGGUGAAAUCUCACCAGUUACUCGUGGUUCAGCUCAAAAAUCCUGACCACCAGGCUGCCCCUCACAUCCAUGGCCCUGCUUGGCUCCCCCCAGCCCUAGAAGGGUCCCUACCUGGGUCAGGCUCUGUCACGCACGAUGGAGCUUGUACUCGUUUGCCUCGACACAUUACAAGGAUCUCAUCAACGUCUGCGGCGGCCUGAACUAAACACAGUUUUGCUGAAUUGCAGUAAAUGAACAGCACGGGAGAAAGUGCCCCAUACACUGUAAAACACCAGAGAAACGGAAGUCAGCAGAGGCUUUUAACAUUUCUUUAUAAAAUGGAAACCGAUAUGGAAUAUGAAAUGUUCAUUUGUGCCUGAGCGUGUCUUGGUUUUGAGUUUAGGCCACUUUCUAUUACAAUUCAGGAUUGCUUCUGCCAUUUGAACCGGGGGUCACUACACCGGAAAGUGUUUGCGUUACUGAGAAAGAGACUUGAAACUAUCCCUGCGCAGACCUUGCACCAAGGCGAGCUUGACCCUCCUGACAGAACUUUAAGUAGCUUCAGUGCAGUGGCUCCAAUUGGGGGAAAAUCUCACCAGGUAAUGGAUGGGACCCUGGCCUAGGAUCAGGCACUUGGUUCUGUCUGGGCCUCUGCCCCUCGCUGGCUGUACCUUCUUAAACUUCUCAGUGCAAAAAGGGAGCUCCCCAAAUAAUUUCUGAGGUCUCUUCCAAUCCUAGGGUUCUUAGAUCUUGGCUCUGAAGCCGCAUUUCUUGGAGUCAUUUAAUUGAUUUUGGAAAAGCAGUUUCCUUGCCUAUAAAUUGGAGCUGGCCUAAAUUAUCAGAAAAUUGUGGACAUUGCAGAGAAAUAUGUAUGGAAAUUGCCCUUGCAAUUAAAAAUCUAAUAAGUGGAGGGAAGAAGAAAGGAGCACAGCGUGUUGUCAGAGGUAAGUUCAAAAGGACGGCUCCCUGUGGCGGCCAAUUUUCUCUUUUUAGAAGAUGAGUUAAGUACAUGAAACCUGGAAUAUCUUUUUCUUUGGAGUGACAAGCUGAGAUUUACAUAGUCUGUGACAUUAGAAACUACGUCCCUGUUCUGUAAGUAAGAUUGUCUUCCCCUUUCUCAGGUUGUCACGUUCUCUCAUUUCUGGGUGGAUCUGUCUGAUCUUCCUGAAUAAUAGUUCCAGACUCAAAAACUAGCAAGCUUAACACUUUUUGUGGCUGCUAUUGAAAAUUGCUUUAUAUGAAAUAAUUUGGAAUCAGGGAGAAAAAUAUAACAUUAAAAAAACCAAACUUUUCUUAAAUAAUAUAAUAUGCUUAAAAAAAUUAAAUAGUGAUCAAAGAAAUCUUAAAAGUCCAGGCAUAGAUAGCCUCAAAGGCAAGUUCUAUCAGAUAGUUAAAUUUUUAACUAACUCAAUUUUACACAAACUAUUCCUGAGCACAGCAAAAAAGCAAACACUCUCCAACUCAAUUUAUGAGGUUUCCAAAAUCUUGAUAAUAAAAAAAGGACAAGUAGGAAACAGGAAAAUUACUGGCCAAUAACACUUAUGAUCAUCGAUGCAAAAAUUCUAUACAAUAUAUUGGCAAACUAAAUCCAGCAACAUAUUAAAAGGAUAAUACAUCAUAACCAAUUUUGUUUAUUCCAGGAAUGCAAGGCUAGUUUGACUACAAACAUUAAUUAAUUUUCUAAAUUAUCAUAUAAAGGGAGAAAAAUCAUAGCCAAGGAAAAAGGAUCAGUCUAGGAAGCUUAGCCCUACCAGAUAUCAAGGCAUAGUAUAAUACUCUAAUAAUUAAGAUUGUGUGGUAUAGAUGUAGAAAGAAAAAACUAAACAAUGGAACAGAAUGUGGUCCAAAAACCAGAUCUACACAGAUAUUAUCGUUGGGUAUACAACACAGCUGACAUUGCAAAUCUGUGAGGGGAGAACUGACAUUUUAAUAAAUGUUACUGAAAUGAUGAUUUAUCCAGAUGGGGAAAAAAUGGAUUCUACAUCACACCAUACAAAAAAAUUAAUUCCAGGUGGAUUAAAGGACCUAAAUAUGAAAGCAAAGGUAUAAAGCAUUUAUAAAAGAAUAUUUUGAGGACUUUGGAAUAAUGAAACAUUUCUUAAGACAAAAAUUGUAAGAAAGAUAUUAGCAAAAUAAUAAUUGACAAAGGACUCACAUCCAGAAUAUAUAGAGAAAACUUAUCAGUUAAUAAGACAAAGAACCCAAUAGAAAAUUGGGUUAUAAGAUGUCGACAAAUAUUGCACAAAAGAAGGAAAACUCAAUGGCCAAAGAAAGUGUGAAGGCUGGUCAGCCUCAUUAGUAAUUAUAGAAAUGCAAAUUAAAGCCAUAGUGUAAUACCAGUACAUUCACACCAGAUUUAAAGUUUUUAAACAACUGACAAUUUCAUGUGUUGGAAAGAAUGUGGAACAAUUAGAACUACUGGGGGUGGGAAUAAAUAUUGCUGCCGCACUUUGGAAAACAUCUGUAUGGACAUUGCAUUAGUUUUCUAAUGCUGUGUAACAAAAAUCACUACAAAUGUAGCAGCUUAAAAUAUCACACACUUAUUAGUACACAGUUGUAUAGGCCAGAAGUCAGAUGGGCUUGACUGGGUUCCCUGCUUAACUCUCACAAGGCCAAAGUCAACGUGUCAGAAUAUAUAUAUUCUUUUUCAGAUUCUUUUCCCUUACAGGUUAUUACAAAGUAUUGAGUACAGUCACCUGUGCUAUGCGGUAGGUCCUUGUUGGUUAUCCAUUUUAUAUACUCUAGUGUGUGUAUGUUAAUCCCAUACUCCUCAUUUAUCCCUCCCCCCUCCCACUUUACCCUUUGGUAACCAUAAGUUUGUUUUCUAUGCCUGUGGGUCUAUUUCUGUUUUGUAAAUAAGUUCAUUUGUAUCUUUGUUUUAGAUUCCAUGUAUAAGUGAUAUCAUAUGAUACUUAUCUUUGGUUUACUUCGCUUAGUAUGAUAAUCUCUGGGUCCAUCUAUGUUGCUGCAAAUGGCAUGAUUUCAUUCUUUUUUAUAGGUCAAUAAUAUUCCACUGUGUGUAUAUAUACCAUGUCUUCUUUACCCAUUCAUCUUGUAAUGGACAUUUAGGUUGCUUCCAUGUCUUGGCUAUCGUAAACAGUGCUGCUAUGUACAUUGGGGUGCAUGUAUCUUUUCGAAUUAACCUGGAUCACGGUUGCAUGAGUAUUUGCUUUAUAAUUAUUUACAACACAGACAUGUUUUAUAUACUCUUAUACAGUAUGAAAUAUCUCACAAUCCAUUUUUUCAAUGGCAACAUUUGAAUUAAACCUAAUGAUUGGUGUUGUAAAAAAGCCCUGGUCAUCUAGGAAGUGGACACCAGCAUGUCUGGGAAGAAGCAGGAAACCAGGGGCUUUCACAAUAUGAAGGUCUUGAAAGAGAGGAUCUCUAAUUUCAUCUCCGAGCAGCCUCCCGCUGCCCUGCAAUAAUAUCUUGUCUAUCAACCAGCCCUUCCCGUGGGUUCUAGCAACUGCCAAUAUGCAUUGGAGUGAAUACAACUUGACUGUUCCGAGGGACAAAGGUGAGAUAAUUAGGGUGCGUUCACAUUGCAGCAAAGGAAUUUAGAUGAGAUUUGCUUUACCUGUUAGUUGUUUAAAUCAAUAGCACUGGCCACCAUUGUAAUAAAUCUGUCAAAUGUGUAUCGGCCUUACCACGUUUGUCAGUGCAAACCCCAGACCCCGAGGCCUCAUCUUCAUCUCCUUUUCCUGGCCCCUUAUCGGCAAGCUGAGUGAGUACAAGCAUCUGUUUGUAGGAAAUUUCAUUUGGAAUUCUCUUUAAAAACCAGAUCCCUAUAAAAACGGAACAAAGGGAGGUUUUAAGGGGAGGAGAGCUCAUGCAUAAUAAAUUAUCCUUCACUUUUGCUUUGUAAUUUCUUUUGGCCCUAAGCUCUAUUUUCAUGUCUGCUUUAAAUGAUGCAGAGAUUUGUCUGCCGACGAGGGCUAUGGGGGCACUGGAGCGCGAGGCCCUUGAAAAACCUGGACUCUCCCCUGUUCUUGGAGGAAGAGGCACUUUGGGAUGCUCCUACUAGAAAUGUGGAAGGAGGGCCUUCAGCGUACAGUUUGGGGAGGUAAAAUCCACGCAGCAGGGUCUUAAUUCAAGCAGUUUCUUCUAUUGAUAUAAAGGGUUUUUACCAUUAUUUGAACAGGAUGGAUGUGUUUCUUUGAAAAGAGCACCAUGUAAGGGAAGGAAUAAAUACUGAGUAAGUAAAAUUUGAAUUCAUUCUAACGACGACUUUAUCAGCUCUUUCCCUCCAGACACUGGCCAUGCCCCGUGUUACUCUGUAGCCCCAGUGCCUGGUGUGGUGCCUGGAGCUGCUGCUGGGCACUCACUGAAUCACAGUGAAUGAAUGAAUGAAUGAGGUGAACGUUGGGUCCAGCAUCCAGGCUUUGAUUAGUACUCUUCCCUGACCACACUUUCAGGAUCCCUGUAUCAAGAGACUUUCCCCCCAGCUUGUUAUUCUCUGAAUUUUGAAUGGAAAAGCAGUCACAGUUUUCUACUGCACCAAUCACUAAAGUCAUCAGUAACCUGAGGCUGAGCUUCUGGUAUUAAGAUCUUAAAGACUCAAGACUCUGUUUGUAUUUCAUUUCAUAUCUGAAAUGAAAAGUUAAGUUGUGCUAAUUCGUGUAGAAUAGCACAUCACAUAUCUUUUCCCGUAAAAUGAGAUUAUCAAACGAAAUGUAAACAUAACGGAGGAGCUUAGACGGCCUAUCAAGGUAAUUUAAAGAGAUAUCCUGUACUAUUAGGCUGCAAAGCCUUGGAUCCCUUCCUUGAUGGUUGUCAAAGCCAAUUCCUAUGUCCUGAGAAUAAAAGAAAAGAAGCAUCUGUCCACAGAGGUCACUCAUCAUGUUUCCCAGCCAUAAAUUUCUGUGAUACAGAACCAUAAGAGUAGGAAUUUAAGCCAAUGUGUAGUUAGUGAGAAAUAGUUUUUCUGUUUGUUAGGCUGUAUAUGAAGCUGAGGGAUUCUGAAACUGGUCUGCCUGCAGUGCAGGCACACAGGUCUGGAGGUCAAGCACAGAUGCCUUCCUUAGAAGCACAGAACAAGGGCCUGCUCAGGGUUGUCGCUCUUCUCGGGUUGCCCGAGAAGCUCCCUGGCCCCUCAAACAUCAAAGUGACCAGGAAUCAAUUCCUGUGCUCCCCCUCCCAUCAGACCAGGAGCCAAGAGCAUCAAAAAGAGGCUUCUAGCCCCCAGAGGGGCAGGAACACACAGAAUGAACACGACCAUGAAAGUGCGUUCCAAGCUCGAGUGAAAGGCUCUGGAGUGUCGGCUGGGGGAAUUCAUGGUUUUCUAGGUAAGCAGACAUAGCGUCAAAUCCUGCUUCAUUUACGCAUUUCCUCAGCAAAUAUUUGAAUGCGUCCUGUUGGCCAGGUUCUCUUCUAGGCAUCCACGGUAUAUCAGUAGACAGACAAAUUCCCCAUUUUCACACAGCUUGCAGACUGGCAGAGGGUGCAUGUAAACAGACAAUGCAACUAAAUUACCAUAUUUUGUUGAUUUGGGGAAGUACAGAGUUGCCCAUGAGCUGCUCUGAAGUUGGGAGGCCUUCCUUCUAUCUACAAUCACGGGCAUCUUACAGUUGCUGUUGGCCAGUAAGCUGCCUCUAAGCAUUUGUCCUCGCCCCGUGAAUGGGCAAACCUGACCACAGCUGUGUAAUAGGGGUGGGGCCGGGGCGCAGUUGCUCUCGCGAGACCCAGAGUGCGGCGGUCGGAGGUCCCGCCCCGCCAAAGGCCCGCCUGGCGGCCGUGGUCCUCGUGGCGGAGAGCACGGGGAGAGGCGGGUCAGCAGCCUUCUCCCCGGGGCCCUCCAGGCCUUACCGCCUCGGGCCGGCGGGUGAGCUGGGGCACCCGGGGACAGGCUGGGGGCUGUCCCGCAGAGCUCCAGAGCCCUCGCCACGGCCGCCCCCAGGCCUUGAAGCAGCAGCGAGCCUCUCCCUCAGCCCCACCUCUGCGACCUGAUGGCGGCGGCAGCGGCGGCGGCGGCGGUCUCCACGGGCCGCGGUCCACGGAGGCCUCAGCAGCUGGAGUAUAUGGACACUGCCAGUAAGGUAACAGCUUCAACCAGCUUCAGUCUCUCCAUUCACGUUUCAGAAAUUGGUCCAGCUUAGAUCAGUUGUCUACCCCUAGGGGGUGGCCAGGCGUCAGGGUUAAGUUUCAGGGACGUUACACGUCAUGACCUCAGGUUCACCUCUGUGUUUGGGGCGCUUCUCAAAGAAGGACAAUUGUCGUGAGCUGGGGAUUAACCUGAUUGGUAUUUGCUACAACACGGAUUUCUAUGGCUCCUAUACAAACGAUUCUCUCCAGUUUAAAUGAAAAGCUUGAGGGCCAGCCGGCUCCUUCCUCAGCGAUAAUGGCUGCGCAGGGUCUGGGGCCCUGGCCCUGAGGGUGCCGCCAGCUGAGAGCUGCCUCUUCAGCCGGCCUGGGCACUGGAGGGAAGACCUAGACAGGGUGCUGGACGAGUGCUCCGGGGCAGGGUCCCCGGCCCGACUGAGACCCUCUCCUCUUAGCCAGGACCUGGACCUCGGAGGGGGAAAGUUGAGCCGUGGGACCUUGCCCUUUCUUGUCAGAACGGAGAAUAACAUUUGUUUCGGUGGAGGUUUACAGGAACAUCGUGACCUGACCGUGACCUGACCUCAAGAACAAAGGCUCUGAAACCAAGAAGUUAGCAACAACUCACCACACCCUUCCCUCACCUUUCCUAUAAAAGGGCUUUGCUGCAAGCUUUCGGGGAGUUGGGGGUUUUUAACGCAUGAGCCACUUGUCUCCUUGCAUGGCCCUGCAUUAAACCUUGCUCUGCUCCAAACUCUGACAGUUUGG